AGGGGAGUGAAAAAGAACCUGAAACCGUGUACGUACAAGCAGUGGGAGCACAGAGCAAUCUGUGUGACUGCGUACCUUUUGUAUAAUGGGUCAGCGACUUAUAUUCUGUAGCAAGGUUAACCGAAUAGGGGAGCCGAAGGGAAACCGAGUCUUAACUGGGCGUUAAGUUGCAGGGUAUAGACCCGAAACCCGGUGAUCUAGCCAUGGGCAGGUUGAAGGUUGGGUAACACUAACUGGAGGACCGAACCGACUAAUGUUGAAAAAUUAGCGGAUGACUUGUGGCUGGGGGUGAAAGGCCAAUCAAACCGGGAGAUAGCUGGUUCUCCCCGAAAGCUAUUUAGGUAGCGCCUCGUGAAUUCAUCUCCGGGGGUAGAGCACUGUUUCGGCAAGGGGGUCAUCCCGACUUACCAACCCGAUGCAAACUGCGAAUACCGGAGAAUGUUAUCACGGGAGACACACGGCGGGUGCUAACGUCCGUCGUGAAGAGGGAAACAACCCAGACCGCCAGCUAAGGUCCCAAAGUCAUGGUUAAGUGGGAAACGAUGUGGGAAGGCCCAGACAGCCAGGAUGUUGGCUUAGAAGCAGCCAUCAUUUAAAGAAAGCGUAAUAGCUCACUGGUCGAGUCGGCCUGCGCGGAAGAUGUAACGGGGCUAAACCAUG
rnacentral:rRNA from 1 species